UACGUAGGGCGCAAGCGUUGUCCGGAAUUAUUGGGCGUAAAGAGCUCGUAGGCGGUUUGUUGCGUCGGCCGUGAAAACCUGCAGCUUAACUGUGGGCCUGCGGCCGAUACGGGCAGACUUGAGUUCGGUAGGGGAGACUGGAAUUCCUGGUGUAGCGGUGAAAUGCGCAGAUAUCAGGAGGAACACCGGUGGCGAAGGCGGGUCUCUGGGCCUGACCUGACGCUGAGGAGCGAAAGCGUGGGGAGCGAACAGG
rnacentral:rRNA from 1 species